GACGAACGCUGGCGGCGUGCUUAACACAUGCAAGUCGAACGAUGAAGCCCAGCUUGCUGGGUGGAAGAGUGGCGAACGGGUGAGUAACACGUGAGUAACCUGCCCCUGACUCUGGGAUAAGCGCUGGAAACGGCGUCUAAUACUGGAUAUGAGCACUGGUCGCAUGGCCUGGUGUUGGAAAGAUUUAUCGGUUGGGGAUGGACUCGCGGCCUAUCAGCUUGUUGGUGAGGUAAUGGCUCACCAAGGCGACGACGGGUAGCCGGCCUGAGAGGGUGACCGGCCACACUGGGACUGAGACACGGCCCAG
rnacentral:rRNA from 1 species